GAUAAACGCUGGCGGCGUGCAUAACACAUGCAAGUCGAACGGAGUGGCGAACGGUUGAGUAACACGUGGGUGACCUGCCCUGCACUUCGGGAUAAGCCGGGGAAACUGGGGCUAACUCCGGAUAGUGUGGGAUGGGCGAGCGGCCUAUCAGCUUGUUGGUGGUGUAAUGGCCUACCACGGGGGCGAAGGGUUGCCUGCCUGAGAGCGUGGACGGCCACAUGGGGACUGGGACACGGCCCAGAGUGCAACUGGCGGCAGCGGUGGAGAAUAGUGCAAACUAGGCGGCCGGAGGAUGGAUCGACGUCGGGUGGGAGAGGACGGCCAUCGGGGUGUAAACUCCUUUCACCAGCGACGCGGUAGAUGAAGAAGAAGCACCGGCUAACUACGUGCCAGCAGCCGCGGUAAUUC
rnacentral:rRNA from 1 species